rnacentral:rRNA from 1 species
UGGGGAAUCUUGCGCAAUGGGCGAAAGCCUGACGCAGCAACGCCGCGUGCGGGAUGAAGGCUCUCGGGUUGUAAACCGCUUUCAGCAGGAACGAAAAUGACGGUACUUGCAGAAGAAGGUGCGGCCAACUAUGUGCCAGCAGCCGCGGUGAUACAUAGGCACCAAGCGUUGUCCGGAUUUAUUGGGCGUAAAGAGCUCGUAGGUGGUUCGGUAAGUCGGGUGUGAAAACUUUGGGCUCAACCCAAAGCCUGCAUCCGAUACUGCUGUGACUAGAGUUCGGUAGGGGAGCGGGGAAUUCCUAGUGUAGCGGUGAAAUGCGCAGAUAUUAGGAGGAACACCGGUGGCGAAGGCGCCGCUCUGGGCCGAUACUGACACUGAGGAGCGAAAGCGUGGGUAGCAAACAGGAUUAGAUACCCGGGUAGUCCCUGAGCGGGCUGGCAAGGCGCAU